GGAGAGGUCGCAUAGUGGCCGAGUGCGCCCGCUUGGAAAGCGGGUGUCCCGUAACAGGGAUCGAGGGUUCGAAUCCCUCUCUCUCCG
rnacentral:tRNA from 1 species